rnacentral:misc_RNA from 1 species
GAUGAAGAACGCAGCGAAAUGCGAUAAGUAAUGUGAAUUGCAGAAUUCAGUGAAUCAUCGAAUCUUUGAACGCAUCUUGCGCUCCUUGGUAUUCUGAGGAGCAUGCCUGUUUGAGUGUCAUUAAAUUCUCAACUACACUGACUUUAAAUUGGUGUGGCUUGGAUUUGGGGGGAAAAUUGUUGUGGGCUUUUUGUAUAGUCUGCUCCCCUGAAAUUGAUUAGCGGUACCUUUGUGGAACUGUCUACAGGUGUGAUAAUUAUCUACAUCUUAGACAUCUGCUGGAAUGCUGCUUUCUAAACCUUACUUGUAUUGACAAUCUUGACCUCAAAUCAGGUAGGACUACCCGCUGAACUUAAGCAUAUCAAUAAGCGGAGGA